rnacentral:rRNA from 1 species
GGCGGCGUGCCUAACACAUGCAAGUCGAGCGGGGACGAUUGCGACGGAAUUGAAAUUUCGGAUGGAUAUGAAGAUGUAAUGUUCGUAGCGGCGGACGGGUGAGUAACGCGUGAGCAACCUGUCCCUUACAGGGGAUAACACAGCGAAAGUUGUACUAAUACCGCAUAAGACCACAGAGCGACAUCGCUUAGGGGUCAAAGGAGCAAUCCGGUAAGGGUGGGCUCGCGUCCGAUUAGAUAGUUGGUGAGGUAACGGCCCACCAAGUCGACGAUCGGUAGCCGACCUGAGAGGGUGAUCGGCCACAUUGGGACUGAGACACGGCCCAAACUCCUACGGGAGGCAGCAGUGGGGAAUAUUGGGCAAUGGGGGAAACCCUGACCCAGCAACGCCGCGUGAGGGAAGAAGGUUUUCGGAUCGUAAACCUCUGUCCUUGGUGAAGAGAAAGAGACGGUAGCCAAGGAGGAAGCCCCGGCUAACUACGUGCCAGCCGCUGC